AUUCUACUCCCUCCGUUGCACAAUACAUGCCUUCUAUUUGUGAAAAUAUAUAUGUAUCUAGACAUGUUUUAGUAUAUAGGUACAUCCAUUUUUGGACAAAUGGAAGUCAAGUAUUUUGGAAUGGAGGCAGUACACA
rnacentral:pre_miRNA from 1 species